rnacentral:rRNA from 1 species
GUCUACAGCCAUGCCACCCUGGACAAGCCCCAUCCGAAGCUAAGCAGGGUCGGGCCUGGUUAGUACUUGGAGGGGAGACCACCUAGGAAGACCAGGUGCUGUAGGCC